rnacentral:rRNA from 1 species
UACGGAGGGUGCAAGCGUUAUCCGGAUUCACUGGGCGUAAAGGGUGCGUAGGCGGUUUGACAAGUCUGAUGUGAAAUCCCGCAGCUUAACUGCGGAACUGCAUUGGAAACUGUUUGACUAGAGGAAUGGAGGGGAGACUGGAAUACUUGGUGUAGCAGUGAAAUGCGUAGAUAUCAAGUGGAACACCAGUGGCGAAGGCGAGUCUCUGGACAUUUCCUGACGCUGAGGCACGAAAGCCAGGGGAGCAAACGGG